UACACUCCUACGGGAGGCAGCAGUGGGGAAUAUUGGACAAUGGGCGCAAGCCUGAUCCAGCCAUGCCGCGUGAGUGAUGAAGGCCCUAGGGUUGUAAAGCUCUUUCACCGGAGAAGAUAAUGACGGUAUCCGGAGAAGAAGCCCCGGCUAACUUCGUGCCAGCAGCCGCGGUAAUCCGAAGGGGGCUAGCGUUGUUCGGAAUUACUGGGCGUAAAGCGCACGUAGGCGGAUCGAUCAGUCAGGGGUGAAAUCCCAGGGCUCAACCCUGGAACUGCCUUUGAUACUGUCGAUCUGGAGUAUGGAAGAGGUGAGUGGAAUUCCGAGUGUAGAGGUGAAAUUCGUAGAUAUUCGGAGGAACACCAGUGGCGAAGGCGGCUCACUGGGCCAUUACUGACGCUGAGGUGCGAAAGCGUGGGGAGCAAACAGGAUUAGAAACCCGAGUAGUCCCA
rnacentral:rRNA from 1 species